rnacentral:rRNA from 1 species
CAGUAGCCGCGGGAAAACGAAGGGGGCUAGCGUUGUUCGGAAUUACUGGGCGUAAAGCGCACGUAGGCGGCUUGGUAAGUUAGAGGUGAAAGCCUGGAGCUCAACUCCAGAAUUGCCUUCAAGACUGCCGAGCUAGCAGGUGAGAGAGGUAAGUGGAACUCCGAGCGUAGAGGUGAAAUUCGUAGAUAUUCGGAAGAACACCAGUGGCGAAGGCGGCUUACUGGCUCAUACUGGACGCUGAGGUGCGAAAGCGUGGGGAGCAAACAGGAUUAGAUACCCCGGUAGUCCCUGUCUCUUAUAC